CGGGGUGAGUAAUGCUUGGGAAUCUAGCUUAUGGAGGGGGAUAACUACGGGAAACUGUAGCUAAUACCGCGUAGUAUCGAGAGAUGAAAGUGUGGGACCUUCGGGCCACAUGCCAUAGGAUGAGCCCAAGUGGGAUUAGGUAGUUGGUGAGGUAAAGGCUCACCAAGCCGACGAUCUCUAGCUGGUCUGAGAGGAUGACCAGCCACAUUGGGACUGAGACACGGCCCAA
rnacentral:rRNA from 1 species